AAUUUUGCACGCCCAAUUUUUCAGUUUUUGAUUUGUUAAAAAAGUUUGAAAUAUCCAAUAAAUGUCAUUCCACUUCAUGAUUGUGUCCCACUUGUUGUUGAUUCUUCACCAAAAAAUACAGUUUUAUAUCUUUAUGUUUGAAGCCUGAAAUGUGGCAAAAGGUCGCAAAGUUCAAGGGGGCCGAAUACUUUCGCAAGGCACUGUAUAUAUAUAUGCUAUCUAGCUAGCUAGAAUCCAUGGAUCCAUUUUAGCUAGAUAUCUUGCUAUUCGUGAGAUCGCCAGCUCACUAAUAAGCUAAAUGUGACAGAUCUAAUGUGACUCAAGUCAGCCUGGCUAUAACUAACUUUAGCGAGAUACUUUAUCCUAAAAAAAAUAAAACGAUUUAGAAACGAUCUGUGCAGUUUGUCUAGCUAGUGAUUUUCUAUAGCUAGUAUCUUGGUUAGCCUACCCACAUUGAAUGUUGUUGAUUGAGGCUAGCAAGCUAGUGUGUCAAAUUCACAUUAAAUAGCUUUCAAACACAAUUAUAGAUGGCUAGGUAAACACCAUUACUAUCCUGCAAUCUAGCUCACAAUUGAGCAAGAUAGCAGGUAAAAAAUAAGGCAGAGUGUAAUUUACAUUAAUCAUUGUGUCUACAUUUCUUGAGCAAACUUAUUUUUAGAAGAUUAGGAUGAAAAGGUGGUCUCGGUACGUGCUUCCCAAACUUGGGGUCAGGGUCCCCUGAGAAGAUCUAUACAAGCAAAUUAUUAUAUUUUCUUCUAUUCAAAUGGGUGUAGAAUUAAACCUUUUUGUGUCAAGUAAGGACUGUUUACACUGUCGUUUGCUGUUUACAGUUGGCUAAAACCUAGCCUACUAUUAAAUACAUUAUUUUUCCACAGGCUCCCAUUUCAUGACAUGCUCAGGCUGCAGCAGUGGGUAGCAGAUUUCAGGUGGAUGAAUUGCAAACAAAGCCAACACUCUUGUCUCUGUGCCCAUCACUUUGAACAUAAGUGUUUUCAGCAUGAUGACAAUGGAAAGGUCCGCCUCAUCCCGACUGCUGUGCCAACCAUUUUCUCCUUCCCUGAUCGUCUUCAAAAGGGGUCACAAUGCUCAAUUGAAAGACAAAGGAAUAUGGUUGGUACAGAGGCUACUGACGUCACCAGGCAACGUUCCCACACCUCAGCUGAGCAAUGAGGAUCAAAAUCCAAUACCGACAAACCCACGCUCUAUCCCAGUUUGCCUGCAUUUUUUUGUCUUCAUUGGCGUGAGUGUUAUUUACUGUUUGUUUUCACAUGGCACAUACCCGAGGUCCUCUUGUGUGUUCCACCUCCAGCUAACGUUGAUCGCAUGCUAUUUAUCCAAUUUCAAUUGUGUUCCAAGCUGGCCGCUGCUGAUUCCUUGCCUCUACCAGAGAGCUACCUGCCUAACUAUAGUGGAGCUGCAGGCUGCAUCACUAGGCGACGUUCCCACACUUCAGAUGAGCAGAGGAUCCAAUACGACAAACCAUGCAGCAGAUCCUCAAUGGUAUAGUGUCUUGGUUAAAUACAAAGACUCCUUUACAUUUGAAUUGACAAUGGUGCUUGUGUGCAUCUAA
rnacentral:lncRNA from 1 species